rnacentral:rRNA from 1 species
CCUACGGGAGGCAGCAGUAGGGAAUAUUGCUCAAUGGGGGAAACCCUGAAGCAGCAACGCCGCGUGGAGGAUGAAGGUUUUCGGAUUGUAAACUCCUUUUGUUAGAGAAGAUAAUGACGGUAUCUAACGAAUAAGCACCGGCUAACUCCGUGCCAGCAGCCGCGGUAAUACGGAGGGUGCAAGCGUUACUCGGAAUCACUGGGCGUAAAGAGGGCGUAGGCGGGAUAGCAAGUCAGAUGUGAAAUCCUAUGGCUUAACCCUAGAACUGCAGUUGAAACUGUGAUUCUAGAGUAUGGGAGAGGUAGGGGGAAUUCUUGGUGUAGGGGUGAAAUCCGUAGAGAUCAAGAGGAAGACUCAUUGCGAAGGCGACCUGCUAGAACAUAACUGACGCUGAUGCGCGAAAGCGUGGGGAGCAAACAGGAUUAGAUACCCUUGUAGUC